rnacentral:rRNA from 1 species
GUCUGUGGCCAUACCACCCUGAACGCACCUGAUCUCGUCUCAUCUUGGAAGCUAAGCAGGGUCAGGCCUGGUUAGUACUUGGACGGUAGAUCCUAUGGGAACGGAUUGUUGAUGGGGAGG